AGCUCUGUAAGCGUAUACCAAAGUUGUUGCAGUUAAAACGCUCGUAGUCGGACGUUGGUGGGCGUGUCAGGUCGACCUCACGGUUGUUCUUGGCACGAACGCCUUUGUGGAGGGGGGCUUCGUGGUGCUUCAUUGCCAUCGCGUUUAGUCGCUGCCACCGUUUACUGUGAAAAAAUUAGAGUGUUCAAAGCGGGCGUUUGCCAUGAAUACAUUAGCAUGGAAUAAUAGAAUAGGACCUGGUCCUGUUUUGUUGGUUUGUGAGUAUCAGGUAAUGAUUAAGAGGGACGGUUGGGGGCAUUUGUAUUCCGACGUUAGAGGUGAAAUUCUUGGAUCGUCGGAAGACAAACAGCUGCGAAAGCGUCUGCCAAGGACGUUUUCAUUGAUCAAGAACGAAAGUAGG
rnacentral:rRNA from 1 species